rnacentral:rRNA from 1 species
UACGUAGGGCGCAAGCGUUGUCCGGAAUUAUUGGGCGUAAAGAGCUCGUAGGCGGCUUGUCACGUCGGGUGUGAAAGCCCGGGGCUUAACCCCGGGUCUGCAUCCGAUACGGGCUAGCUAGAGUGUGGUAGGGGAGAUCGGAAUUCCUGGUGUAGCGGUGAAAUGCGCAGAUAUCAGGAGGAACACCGGUGGCGAAGGCGGAUCUCUGGGACGGUACUGACGCUGAGACGCGAAAGCGUGGGGAGCAAACAGG